UUCCUACAAUCACUCACAAAUACAUUAGAAAUAUAAUAGAGAGAAGUACAGCAGUGGAGAACCAAUUUUUGCUCUCCAUACAGAAGCAACUACGUACACCUUAAGUCCAAGCCAUAGAUACUACAUCCUGCAUAAACUUAACUUUUGCUACUAAAAUCCAAUCCAAACCUAUAUACAUAUCUUGUCAUUCUCAAGCAACACAGGAAAAAAAAAAAAAAAAACUCGACAUCCAGUACUACUUCACACAACUAGGCGACCUUAUUUUGCUUCUUAAUUAGCAGGCAGUUCAGAGCUGCCAGAACAGAAACACACCUGAUGGAGUCCCCCUACUAAUAAUAUCAAUCUUUCAGCACUGUUUACACGGCGAGCCCAGCUCACCGUACAGUCCUGCCCCUUUUAAUUGACCAUUAACUAGUGGCUUCAUUGUCCACUGUAGUGCCAUCGUCUACUUUCUCUUCGCUUUUCUUCUUCUUUUCUUUUUCACUGUUGAAGCCGCCAAGAGGGAGCUUCUCCUUUGCAACAUUAGCCGCAUCCUUGGGUUUGCGCCCUCCAUUGUUGGUUUGGCCACCGCCCCCGUGACUAACACCAGGUCCACGUCCAGCACUUCUGAUCACACACAAGAAGAAAAGGAUAGUGACAUGGACGUAAUUAGUGAGAUUUCAUAUCUAAAUCAAGUGACUGUCACUAACAAUAAUCAGUAAAGAAAGACCCUAAAUAAUUCCUAGUUAAAUUGGCUGUCAGUCAUUUGUUUUUAUAAACAAACCAAACUCUUUCAAAAUUACCUUUAUAAUCUAAAAACAUGUGUUUGUUCGGCAAACACGUGAAAAUGAUUUAUGAAUUAUCAGCUGAGUGGUUAAGAAACUAUUGAUAUAGCCCCGGCGAGAAGAGGAGGAAGAAGAAGAAGAAGAUUAAAUCUAGUCCAAGAAAACCCUCACGGCUCAACCCGACCAAAAAAAGAAGGAAAUAAAGAAGAAGAAAAAUGUCAAAUGCAUGUUCAUCACUUAUUUGACUGGACUGGAAUGAGAUCCAGAAACUCGUAAGCGAGAUGACAAGAAAAUUUCCAAAUAUAUAGCCACAUGCAUAGGAAACUUGACCUAC
rnacentral:lncRNA from 1 species